CGUGGCUGGUUUUGAAGAAUGCGACUGAAAAAAAGGUUGAAGGGUGGACGGAGGCUGGAGCAAGGGGCGUCCCUGGGUCUGUUCCAUCCAAACACUGUUGAAGCAAGAGACAGAUCCGCAAAUACGGAAGAGCAGACUUCUGAACUCCAGACACC